AAAGGGAGCUUGCUCCCAGAGGUUAGCGGCGGACGGGUGAGUAACACGUGGGCAACCUGCCCUGUAGACUGGGAUAACACCGAGAAAUCGGUGCUAAUACCGGAUAAGGUCCGAGAACACCUGUUCUUGGAUUAAAAGAUGGCUCCGGCUAUCACUGCAGGAUGGGCCCGCGGCGCAUUAGCUAGUUGGUAAGGUAAUGGCUUACCAAGGCGACGAUGCGUAGCCGACCUGAGAGGGUGAUCGGCCACACUGGGACUGAGACACGGCCCAGACUCCUACGGGAGGCAGCAGUAGGGAAUCUUCCGCAAUGGACGAAAGUCUGACGGAGCAACGCCGCGUGAGUGAUGAAGGUUUUCGGAUCGUAAAGCUCUGUUGUUAGGGAAGAACAAGUGCCGUUCAAAUAGGGCGGCACCUUGACGGUACCUAACCAGAAAGCCACGGCUAACUACGUGCCAGCAGCCGCGGUAAUACGUAGGUGGCAAGCGUUGUCCGGAAUUAUUGGGCGUAAAGCGCGCGCAGGCGGUCUUUUAAGUCUGAUGUGAAAUCUCGGGGCUCAACCCCGAGCGGUCAUUGGAAACUGGGAGACUUGAGUACAGAAGAGGAGAGUGGAAUUCCACGUGUAGCGGUGAAAUGCGUAGAUAUGUGGAGGAACACCAGUGGCGAAGGCGACUCUCUGGUCUGUAACUGACGCUGAGGCGCGAAAGCGUGGGGAGCAAACAGGAUUAGAUACCCUGGUAGUCCACGCCGUAAACGAUGAGUGCUAGGUGUUAGGGGUUUCGAUGCCCUUAGUGCCGAAGUUAACACAUUAAGCACUCCGCCUGGGGAGUACGACCGCAAGGUUGAAACUCAAAGGAAUUGACGGGGGCCCGCACAAGCAGUGGAGCAUGUGGUUUAAUUCGAAGCAACGCGAAGAACCUUACCAGGUCUUGACAUCCUUUGCCCACCCUAGAGAUAGGGCUUUCCCCUUCGGGGGACAAAGUGAC
rnacentral:rRNA from 1 species